UACGUAGGGGGCUAGCGUUGUCCGGAAUCAUUGGGCGUAAAGAGCGUGUAGGCGGCCCGGUAAGUCCGCUGUGAAAGUCGGGGGCUCAACCCUCGAAUGCCGGUGGAUACUGUCGGGCUAGAGUGCGGAAGAGGCGAGUGGAAUUCCUGGUGUAGCGGUGAAAUGCGCAGAUAUCGGGAGGAACACCUAUGGCGAAGGCAGCUCGCUGGGACGUUACUGACGCUGAGACGCGAAAGCGUGGGGAGCAAACAGG
rnacentral:rRNA from 1 species